GUCCACAGCUACUGGUCUGCAGCUGUUCUUACGGUGGCAGUUGUAGCAUUCCUCUGUGGGAUAGAAACUGUUACACAAUUUCAUGCCUCUUUCUCAGCCAAACAGAAAGAGGAAAUAUGCGUGACAGACACAA